rnacentral:rRNA from 1 species
GACGAACGCUGGCGGCGUGCCUAAUACAUGCAAGUCGAGCGGUCCGGCACUCAACCAAGCUUCUGUGAAUACACAGGAGUUAGGCUGAGUGCCGGAGAGCGGCGGACGGGUGAGUAACGCGUGGGCAACCUGCCCUCUAGCCCGGGAUAACAGCGCGAAAGUGCUGCUAACACCGGAUAUGCUCACGGCCCGGCAUCGGGAAGUGAGGAAAGUUUACACUAGAGGAUGGGCCCGCGUCCCAUUAGCUAGUUGGUGAGGUAACGGCUCACCAAGGCGACGAUGGGUAGCCGACCUGAGAGGGUGAUCGGCCACACUGGGACUGAGACACGGCCCAGACUCCUACGGGAGGCAGCAGUAGGGAAUUUUCCGCAAUGGGCGAAAGCCUGACGGAGCAACGCCGCGUGAGGGAUGAAGGUCUUCGGAUCGUAAACCUUUGUCUAGAGGGACGAUAAUGACGGUACCUCUGGAGGAAGCCACGGCUAACUACGUGCCAGCAGCCGCGGUAAUACGUAGGUGGCGAGCGUUGUCCGGAAUUACUGGGCGUAAAGGGCGUGUAGGCGGCCUGUUAAGUCAGAUGUGAAAUCUUUGGGCUUAACCCAAAAACUGCAUUUGAAACUGGCGGGCUUGAGGACCGGAGAGGGCAGUGGAAUUCCCAGUGUAGCGGUGAAAUGCGUAGAUAUUGGGAGGAACACCAGUGGCGAAGGCGACUGCCUGGACGGCACCUGACGCUGAGGCGCGAAAGCUAGGGGAGCAAACGGGAUUAGAUACCCCGGUAGUCCUAGCCGUAAACGAUGGGUACUAGGUGUGGGAGGUAUCGACCCCUUCCGUGCCGCAGUUAACACAAUAAGUACCCCGCCUGGGGAGUACGGCCGCAAGGUU